CCCUGUCCUUAGUUACCAGCACGUUAUGGUGGGCACUCUAAGGAGACUGCCGGUGACAAACCGGAGGAAGGUGGGGAUGACGUCAAGUCAUCAUGGCCCUUACGGCCUGGGCUACACACGUGCUACAAUGGUCGGUCAAAGGGUUGCCAAGCCGCGAGGUGGAGCUAAUCCCAUAAAACCGAUCGUAGUCCGGAUCGCAGUCUGCAACUCGACUGCGUGAAGUCGGAAUCGCUAGUAAUCGUGAAUCAGAAUGUCACGGUGAAUACGUUCCCGGGCCUU
rnacentral:rRNA from 1 species